CUAAACACUAGCAGAAGGAAGGACGCCGAGGGUCCGAUGAGAAAACCAGUGAAAACUCAGAGUACGUGGACCGGCCCAUCCGCCAGAGCUGGGACCCGCCAGCCACCGUCCACACGUGUGCCCACAGAUAUGCUCUCGGGAACGAACCCCAACAGAGCCAGCGCCGAAGCUUGUUCCCACCGCGUGUCCCACUUCUUGGCAGGCUCUUUCCUGGCCCCGGCCUUCCCAGUGCUGCACUCCCUGUGCCGUGAGGAGGUGCCAGCGGCUCGGACACCAGCCGUCGGGAAGAUGGCUCCUCGGGAGCAGGACUGAAGAGGACAAUGGAAAAGGACACGGUGACUAAGUUGUUUCGCCACAGCCUCGGGGAGUCUGGCCUGCAGCGGUUUUAUUACCAAGUAACGGGAAGUCACGGCGCUGUGUCCUCCAAGUUCAGAAAC